UACGAAGGGGACUAGCGUUGUUCGGAAUCACUGGGCGUAAAGCGCACGUAGGCGGAUAUGUCAGUCAGGGGUGAAAUCCCGGGGCUCAACCUCGGAACUGCCUUUGAUACAGCAUAUCUUGAGUCCGAUAGAGGUGGGUGGAAUUCCUAGUGUAGAGGUGAAAUUCGUAGAUAUUAGGAAGAACACCGGUGGCGAAGGCGGCCCACUGGAUCGGUACCGACGCUGAGGUGCGAAAGCGUGGGGAGCAAACAGG
rnacentral:rRNA from 1 species